rnacentral:rRNA from 1 species
AUUGAACGCUGGCGGCAGGCUUAACACAUGCAAGUCGAGCGGAGAUGAGGUGCUUGCACCUUAUCUUAGCGGCGGACGGGUGAGUAAUGCUUAGGAAUCUGCCUAUUAGUGGGGGACAACAUUCCGAAAGGAAUGCUAAUACCGCAUACGUCCUACGGGAGAAAGCAGGGGACCUUCGGGCCUUGCGCUAAUAGAUGAGCCUAAGUCGGAUUAGCUAGUUGGUGGGGUAAAGGCCUACCAAGGCGACGAUCUGUAGCGGGUCUGAGAGGAUGAUCCGCCACACUGGGACUGAGACACGGCCCAGACUCCUACGGGAGGCAGCAGUGGGGAAUAUUGGACAAUGGGCGGAAGCCUGAUCCAGCCAUGCCGCGUGUGUGAAGAAGGCCUUUUGGUUGUAAAGCACUUUAAGCGAGGAGGAGGCUACUUAGAUUAAUACUCUAGGAUAGUGGACGUUACUCGCAGAAUAAGCACCGGCUAACUCUGUGCCAGCCGCCGCAGUAAUAC